UUGCAGGUUUCUUGAAAGGCACUGCCUCCCGGCAACCUCUUUUUUUUUGCUUUUUUAUUCCUAAGCCUGGGUUUUAAAAUCCCUCUGUGUAUCUUGAACCAGCGAGGCUCUUUCCCCACGGGCUCUGCUAGCGGUUUAAUAGCCUCUUGUUUCUCUUCAGUGCUGGCGCUAGCUGUGCGCAGCCCUACUGAUGCUGGCUGCUGCUGGGCACCUUCUCCACCCGCUGCUGCGGGGGGAUCCUGGCUCCUCCAGCCCCCAGGGCUGCUUUCCCGAGCCCCCGUGCCCCGUGCCACCCUCCUGUGGGGAAGUUUCUGCUGCCUCCGGGGCUGUUCAUCAAAAGCACCAGGAUGAGCACUGAAAACCGAGGAGAGGAAUGCUCUGGCCUUAGCGUGCUGCUGGUGUUAUCGCAGCGCUUUAAAGCUCCGGCCAGAAUAAAAAGGCUUUCCUGCUGCUGGGUGCUGCCAAGGCUUUUCCAUUGCAUUCUUUCUUAAUGUGAGUUGCAGCACAGCUGCUCGCAGAGAUUCAGGGGGCACGCAAGGCUCAGCUCCCAGUCCUGAGGCAUGGGAUGUCCCCUCCGUCUGAGACCUGCUGAGAUGCUGCAGCCUCCCCAAAACCAACGGGAUACCAGCCCUGCCAGGUCAUGGUUUGCUAUCAUAGGACAGCUGGACCCAUUUCAGCCCGGGGAGGGGAAGGCUGAGGCGGGACGGGCUGCUGUGAGACCUUCCUCCGCUGCUGAAGCAGCUGGGGCUGGACCGGUGCCCACGGAUAAACGAAAGCAGCUUCACUGCUGCUCUAAUUUAUGCCCGACUGCCAGUGGCCCCGGGGCUUUUCUGUCAGCCGGGGCUCAACCAGCUGUGACAGCAGCCUCCUUUCAGCCUCUCCUCUGGCGCUCGCUGCUUUUGCCAGCAGCUGAGAGGGAUGCGGGUGCGGGUGGCCCCGGCAUGGGUCCCUCCCCGCAAUCUUCAGGGCAUCUGUGCUGCUCGCCCUGGCACCUCCUGGCCAGGUCAGAGCCCGUGUUUCAACCCUUCUGGACAGAAAGAUAAUCCUCCUCACCCGCUACGUGUGACGGUGCUUCGCUGUCUGUAUCUGCCCACGUGACGCAAGCAGCCAAACUCCCUGCAAAACCACCCACAGAUCACUCUGGAGCCAAAAAGCCCAAUCAUGAAGACUACAAAGAAAAAUGAAAAGCCCCAUUUGAAACUCAGAAACAUGAUGUACAGCAAUUUCUCCCGUCUCUCUGCCUUAGCUGGAAUUAAUCAACAAUCUCUGCCUGCAAUUGCUGGGAAUAAUUUAUUUCAAGAAAUGCAAAGAAAGAGCGUUUAGGAUAAAUAUUUAAAUUUCCUCUUCCAGCCCAUCCUAUUCUCCAUCAUUGUUUGUGUUCAAUUCAGUCAGCUAUGCAUAAGCUGAUGCUCAUUCUAGUUGCUCUGGGUAUUUACAUAUUUUCUUCUGUAGCGAAUCUCUGAUCCCUAGCUCUUCCUUGGGUGGGUAAAGAACGAUGUAAGUAAAAUCCCCCCGGGGACUGACUCCUGGGCCAGAACACAGGGGGUCAGCCAGGGCAUGGAGAAACCCUUGCAGAUGGGGCUUGGGAUUCCCCAUGGCUGGGAAUACCUGCCCCUGUUACACGUACUGCCCUAGGACGGAGAGAGGAAUGGUAUUGAGGGAGGAGGAACAGCACGAGCCAAAACGCAGGCAGCUUGGUUCUGGAAGGUGUUUGUGUGCCAAGUCAUAAGGUGCCCGUAAAAAAUGGGAUUGGAGUUAGCUGUAAAAAAAAAAAAAAAAAAGCACAAAACCUUUACUGCAUUGGGAACUAUUAAAAAUGUUUUGUUGUUUUUGAUAGGAAAAUGACUUAAGCUGAGCGGUGGGAAUAAUCAAAGAAAAGAGCACGAACUUCAAAGGCGGUGCUUCAUACCUUUAACACCGAGGAGGCUGAAGAGAGGAAGAAGUGAGCACGAACUGUUAAUUCUGACCUGACUGCACGUGCAUACGUAUGACAAGGGUUCCCCCGGCUCCCUGCAGCCAGAUAUCUGUAACCACAGCCCGGACGGACCCGGCUGAGCCCCCCGUGUAAUCUGCGUCCCAUGGAGGCUGCGCCUCCCCCUUCUGUGCGCUCUCAUUAGCUUGCGCCAGCAGCGCUUUGAACGGGGGGUUAGGGGAGAAAGCAUGAUAUAAACUUUAAAGACGGCUCAUCUACCACGUGCAAUUUGUAUUUUACACCUCGUGAAUUUUAACAACUGGAGUUGUAACUUCACCGUUAACCCCCCGUGCGCCGGCACUUCUGCCUUGACCCCUCCAAGGGCGGCAGCAGCAGUUGGAGGCUGUCGCACACCGCUGCGGCACGGAUCCUGCAUCCAGCCAGGCUCCCCUCGUACCCUGCAGCGUGCAGAGCCGGGGCCAAGGUGCAGCUCUCCCUGACUUCUCCCCCAGCUCCAGCACCCCAGCAGCUACCGCGAUGGAGCAGGAUUUUUUUUCUUUUUCCUAAAAGAGCUCAGUCGCUUGCUAAAGCCCUUCCUUUCACGUGCGUUCAGGCUAAGUAUUAGAGGAGCGAAUGCCCUCCAGAUACUGCUAAAUGGCUGCUUAAAAAUGAAAUAACAAACAUAAAAGCUCAGAUGGCUGCAGCACCGAGUUAAAACGCACGGCACUGCUGGCAGGCUUUGCGCAUAGCCCUGGCUGGACCGGCUGCACAGUUGAUCUCCUGAAACCAUCAUUUACGCUGCCAUUAAAAAUCUUUAUUGUGACUCUAAAAAACUCCUCCAAGCGCUCGGUGGAAGCAGGGGGAAGCUGGUUUCCGUAACACGCAGCCGCACAUGGAGGUGAGACCUGGGACCUCUGCUCCACGGUGGUGUUUCAUUACGGGCGCUGAGGCUAUUAAACCAAUUUCCGAGCACUCGGGUGUGAGGUGUUUGUGGGAUUUCCCCAGCUGAACAAAUCAGCUUAGAAGCCUGCAAUUCAUUAGGCAAGUUAUCAGGCAAAAGCGGUGUGCGCUCUCUCCUUGCUGUGCCUGCAGCCCCUAACUUCCAGCUCCUUCGAUACAGCAUGGUGCUUUUUUUCCAGUUUGAGAUUUGCAGGAGCCAGCUUCAAAGCAGCUUUUUUUUUUUUGGUGGCAGAGUGCCCCAGCUCCUUGCUGGGUUUAGUGCGAGUCCACUGAGCGCACCAAAGCCAUGGCUGUGCUCCUGGGGCUGGCUGUGCCCUUCACGUUCAGCAGUCCGUGGUGCUCCGCAGCCCUCAGUGCAGGCUGAAAAUGGGUGAAGGGGACUCAAAACCCCUGCCUGCAGACUGAGGGGGGUAUCAUCGUCCUUCCUUCCUUCAUUCAUUCUUUCCUUCUUUCCUUCCUUCCUUCCUUCCUUCGGGCAGGGGAUGAGCCAGGGCUGCGGGGCUGUGCUGUGCUCGGCGCUCACGCUGCCGCUGGGUAGCACGGUGAGCUGAGCGAGGCCUUUUCUUGCAGGGAGGCCUUUGCAUUUGCAAUUUGAAUUUAAUCCCCUGGGCUAAAGAUAGCUCCGGCUCGCCUAUUGUUCCUCCAGCUGGCAACAGCUUUAUUUCUUUGAUGCUUUCAGUCCUCGGUCGUUUCCAAGGAACUGGCAGAGACGCUUUCAAUGCGGAGUCUGCCCGGCACCGUGUCACACUGGUCACCUCUUCCCACCAUCCCGGCCCUCCCUUAGGUCCCCCUUGGGGACUGCAGGGCUCCCUCCUGAUGCCACGAGCCUCUGCGUGUGCCCCUGAUGCUGGUCUCCCAUCCCUGCGGGUCCAGGGCUGCUCCUCAUGGCUCCCCCAAAAGCGGGGCCUUCCUCGGGAGCAGCCCUGGCACAAUGUCACGCUCAGGUACCUGGCAAUUAGUCUGAUUACCAUUACUCCACGGGAAGAAGUAAGUGGUACGUGUGGUCCUUUUCUUCAGGCUUUGCUGUUUGGGUUCGCCUCUAACCCACCCUUCCCACGUGUCUGUUUUGGCAAGGCCGCAUUCCUCGCUUACUGCGGGAGGUUUCCGUCUGGUGUCAGCCGGGGAACCGCGUGCUCUGCAAGGUCACUGAACGCAUGCUUGACUCUGAAGCAGUUUGGACAACGAUUUGAAGCGGAUUAAUGUCAGCGAGCUCUUAU